rnacentral:rRNA from 1 species
CCUACGGGGGGCAGCAGUGGGGAAUAUUGCACAAUGGGGGAAACCCUGAUGCAGCGACGCCGCGUGAGGGAAGAAGUAAUUCGUUACGUAAAGCUCUAUCAGCAGGGAAGAAACACUUACCUGACGGUCAGCAGACGGUACCUGCGUAAGAAGCCCCCGCUAACGACGUGCCAGCAGCCGCGGUAAUACGUAGGGGGCAAGCGUUAUCCGGAUUUACUGGGUGUAAGGGGGGCGUAGACGGUGCGCGAAGUCUGGAGUGAAAUGCCGCCGCUUAACUGCGGAACUGCUUUUGAAACUGGCGAACUAGAGUGCGGGAGGGGUAGGCGGAAUUCCUAGUGUAGCGGUGAAAUGCGUAGAUAUUAGGAGGAACACCGGUGGCGAAGGCGGCUUACUGGACCGUAACUGACGUUGAGGCUCGAAAGCGUGGGGAGCAAACAGGAUUGGAUACCCUGGUAGUC